rnacentral:lncRNA from 10 species
GACUCCCUCUGCACCAGCCCAGCAGUCCCCCGCCAGCCGCCCCUCACUUCCCUCCUCCAGCAAUUCUUUUUAUUGUUUUUUUGAGAUGGAGUCUUGCUCUGUCGUACAGUGGUGCGAUCUCAGCUCACUGCAACCUCCGCCUCCCGAGUUCAAGCAAUUCCCCUGCCUCAGGCUCCCGAAUAGCUGGGAUUACAGGCACUCACCACCACGCCCAGUUAAUUUUUGUAUAUUUAGUAGAGACGAGGGUUUCGCCAUGUUGGCCAGGCUGGUCUCGAACUCCUGACCUCAAGUGAUCCACCCACCUCAGCUUCCCAAAGUGCUGGGAUUACAGGUGUGAGCCACUGCACCCGGCCCAAGGGCCCAUCUUAACACUGCUACUGUGCAUGAGGCUUGUGCUGGGCAGGGGCUCCCUGGGCUGGGCUGAAGUGACCUGGGUAGCUGGCAUGGGUGGUCUGAGUCUCCAGGUCUGUGUUCUCAUUUCUCACCUGUCUCCCUCCGUCCCUUCACCCCAGCAGAGACAGAUUACAGCCUGCACCAUGGGUGGCCAGGAGAUAAUCUUUCUUUUAAUUUUGUAUUUUUUUAUUUUUUGAGACACAGUCUCGCUUUGUCACCCAGGCUGGAGUGCAGUGGCGCAAUCUCAGCUCAGUGCAACCUCCAACACCUGGAUUCAAGCGAUUCUCCUGUCUCAACCUCUUGAGUAGCUAGGAUUACAGGCGUGUGCCACCAUGCCCAGCUAAUUUUUGUAUUCAAGAUAUUCCUUUGUAUUCGAUAUACUCUUUUUUUUUUUUUUCGAGAUGACGUCUUGCUCUGUCACCCAGGCUCAAGAGAUUCUACUGCCUCAGCCUCCUGAGUAGCUGGGAUUACAGGUGUAAACUACCACAGCCAGCUAAUUUUUGUAUUCGAGAUAUUCUUUUUGUUGUUGUUGUUGAGACAGAGUCUCACUCUGUUGCCCAGGCUGGAGUGCAGUGGCACAAUCUUGGCUCACUGCAAUCUCCACCUCUCUGGUUCAAGAGAUUCUCCUGCCUCAGCCUCCCAAGUAGAUGGGAUUACAGGCACCCACCACCACGCCCGGCUAAUUUUUGUAUUUUUAGUAGAG